rnacentral:pre_miRNA from 1 species
CUGUGUGGUACUCUACUGCAGAUAGUGGCAAUCAUUUAUAAUUAAAAUAUGAUUGACAUCUCUGUGAGUGGAGUAACGCAUGG